UGAGUAUAGUUUAACAAAAAACCCUGGGCGGUGGCCCCAGAAAUAAGGGUCACCCUUUACUCACC
rnacentral:tRNA from 1 species